UUAACUGAAACCAAAGGGAGGUAUAUUAUUGUUAAUAAUAAGAUUGAAUGAAAGUAUUCCAGUUAAA
rnacentral:tRNA from 1 species